rnacentral:rRNA from 1 species
AUGAGAUUUAAGAAGUCAGAGGAGAAUAGGGUGAGAGUUCAAUGUGGAUGGCUUGGUUGUCCCUGGAUUGUUGGUAAAACAAAGAUUAGCAGAUGCUCAAGGUUUCAAAUUAUAACCUAUGAUGAUGACCACCGGUGUGCACAAAACGGAUAUGACAUAUUGGUUACUGCAAAGGUCAUAGCCGAGAGGUAUGAGCAUUUCAUCUUGGCUAAUCUAAUGUGGAAAAUUGAUAGCGUAAAAGCUAUUGUCCUACAAGACAUGUUUGCCGAUGUGUCAACUUCAAAGUGCAAGUCAACUAAAGGAAUUGGAAUGGACAAGUUGUUGAGUGGUACAAGGAAUGAGUACAAUAAAGUAUUUGACUAUCAAUUCGAGUUGCUUAGGAGCAACCCUGGCAUCAGAGUUGUUCUUUGCUUCUAUCCAACUGGCAUGGAAAAAACAAUGUGGUUCAAUAGUUUUAUGAGCAUGCCAAGGAGAAUUGUUGGUUGCAACUGCAAGGGAUCUAACAACUAG